CCGCCGCCGGGUGUCGGUUUCAGCGCCGCCGCCUGCGUCUCCCGGGCCCUAACUACCCACCGCCUGCCGCCUGCGCCCGCGCCCAGGCCCGCCGCGCGCCCAGGCCCUCGCCAGCGUCCGGGGCUACCGCCGGCGCCGCCCGGGUCCCAGCGCCGCAGCCCCGCGCGCAGAUGGCGCACUCGGCAUUACGCCGUGCGCUGGAGCGCGCUGGAGCAGAGCUGCCCCAUCCGCGUGGAGCACGACCGCCGGCGCCGCCAGUUCACUGUCCGGCUCAACGGAUGUCAUGACCGGGCCGUCCUGCUCUAUGAGUACGUGGGCAAGCGGAUCGUGGACCUGCAGCACACCGAGGUCCCAGAUGCCUACCGUGGGCGCGGCAUCGCCAAGCACCUCGCCAAGGCCGCCCUGGACUUCGUGGUGGAGGAGGACCUGAAGGCCCAUCUCACCUGCUGGUACAUCCAGAAGUACGUCAAGGAGAACCCCCUGCCGCAGUACCUGGAGCGCCUGCAGCCGUAACCCUGGCCUGCAGGCGGGAGCGCUCCCUGCCGGACUCUUCCACGUGGCCUUUGCCCGGCCCUACGUGCUCUCAGGAACCUGGUCCCACUGGGAACAGACUCAGAGUUAUUUUUGUAAGGACACUUAUCUGUGCUCCACGUCCAGAUCCCUGGAGGCCGCUGACCAAUGAUGGGCGGUGACCCGGUAACUGAGGUGGCAAGGAGGCCGGGUAGUCCCUGCAGCUCCCUUUCUGCAGAGACCAGCAGCUUCGUGGGAGGCCUGUGGGCUGCACUAGGGGCUAGAGCCAGCCUGCAUCCCGCCCGCCGGGUUCCACGUGGAGAUCAGCAGGAGGGCCAGUGCGGGACCCCUGCUGCCACCUCUCCUGGGCCCGUGUCCUUUCUGGAAAUUAGGAAGGUGACUCUCCAUCCGGCCAGCCCACAACCAAUACUUGAACCAGGAGGCUUGGGGUGGUGGAGGCCCGCAGAGGCCCUGGGCCCAGGAACCGAGGCUAGGGCUUUCUCAGGAGACCUGAUCCAAGCUCCCGCUGGUCAGGUCGCCACAGACACCGUGCCCUGGAGCCCCCAGCUCAUCCCGUCUGGUGCUACCCUGUCUGCCUGGCAGCCCAGCCUCACCCCUCCCAUCGGGUCACCUGGGAGUCCUUGUCCUCAGCCCAGCCUUCAGUGUGGAGAGCGAGACCCUGAGUGGCACUGGGGCUUGGCUGAGGUCUCCCCGCAGGAUAACAAUGACUUCAGGACCCCAGACCCCUGUCUGGGCAGCUCUGCCUUUCCAGCUGGCCCAGCCCCCACAUCACAGUUCCCUGCCAUCUCCAGGUGCAAAAGGCCCCGAGGCCACAGCCCAGCUAUGAAGCAGAGUGACUUCGUGGGGUUUCCUAGGAAGGGGCAGCGAUGUCAUGCAGGAGAUCUGCUGUGCCAUAAGAAGUCGCUCCUUUGGGAUUUCUGGUCCACUGCAGGGAGGUGA
rnacentral:lncRNA from 1 species